rnacentral:tRNA from 1 species
UAUCGGAUAGCUUAACUGGUAGAGCCCUUGGCGCGUAACCGAGAGAUCUGGGUUCGAUUCCCAGUCUGGGCUGUCUGAU